UUUCCUUUAGCUUAAGCAAAAGAGCGUUAGUUUGAAGCACUAAAGGUAACGUUAGUUAGGGAGGC
rnacentral:tRNA from 1 species